rnacentral:rRNA from 1 species
AGAGCGAACGCUGGCGGCAGGCUUAACACAUGCAAGUCGAGCGGGCGUAGCAAUACGUCAGCGGCAGACGGGUGAGUAACGCGUGGGAACGUACCUUUUGGUUCGGAACAACCCAGGGAAACUUGGGCUAAUACCGGAUAAGCCCUUACGGGGAAAGAUUUAUCGCCGAAAGAUCGGCCCGCGUCUGAUUAGCUAGUUGGUGAGGUAAUGGCUCACCAAGGCGACGAUCAGUAGCUGGUCUGAGAGAAUGAUCAGCCACAUUGGGACUGAGACACGGCCCAAACUCCUACGGGAGGCAGCAGUGGGGAAUAUUGGACAAUGGGCGCAAGCCUGAUCCAGCCAUGCCGCGUGAGUGAUGAAGGCCCUAGGGUUGUAAAGCUCUUUUGUGCGGGAAGAUAAUGACGGUACCGCAAGAAUAAGCCCCGGCUAACUUCGCGCCAGCAGCCGC